rnacentral:rRNA from 1 species
CCUACGGGAGGCAGCAGUGGGGAAUCUUCCGCAAUGGGCGAAAGCCUGACGGAGCAACGCCGCGUGAUCGAAUGAAGGCCUUCGGGUUGUAAAGAUCUGUUGACAGGGACGAAUAAGCAAUGCAAAUAGUUUUGUGUAUGACGGUACCUGUUUAGAAAGCUCCGGCUAACUACGUGCCAGCAGCCGCGGUAAUACGUAGGGAGCAAGCGUUGUCCGGAUUUACUGGGCGUAAAGGGCGCGUAGGUGGGCGCUUAAGUCAGGUGUGAAAACUCCGGGCUGAACCUGGAGACUGCACUUGAAACUGGGUGUCUUGAGGGCAGGUGAGGAAAGUGGAAUGCCUAGUGUAGCGGUGAAAUGCGUAGAUAUUAGAAAGAACACCAGUGGCGAAGGCGUCUUACUGGACCGAAACUGACGUUGAGGCUCGAAAGCGUGGGGAGCAAACAGGAUUAGAUACCCGGGUAGUC